GUGAUAACUUCAUGUAGCUACUGUCCAGAUUCACUACCAGAUGAAGCUAAAAGAAUUACCAAGUUUUAUAACAGAAAUGUUCGGAAGUUUAAAUCCAUCAUUCAUGAAAUAAGAGGUGAAAUUGUUGCCACGGCAAGGAUUUUAGAAAAUGAAGUAGUUCUCCCUCAAAUGGUGAACAUUAUCUAUAUGUGUGGAAUUUUUUUAAACCAACAUGUUGAUCCGUGCCAUUACCAACUUAAUGA
rnacentral:lncRNA from 1 species